AUGUUUAAUUGUUCAAGACACUGUUUGUUCAUUCUUUAAUUCAACUAGUUAAUGGCAAUCCAAAAUCAUCAGCUAAAAUACUAUUUAAUGUUUAGUACUAACUGGCGUAGAUUGCACAUAUCCGUAAAAUCUGGAAUUUUCAUGAAUAGUUUAGCUAUAGUGUUGUGUGCCGUCAGUGAUCAAUACUCCUCUAUGUGGGCAAACGAUUUUGUUCAACAGUGGUACAAUAUAGUUUGCUGGUCAGGGUGCUGAAUAAUCAUAUAUUAUUUUAAGGCUAUCUACGGAACCAUUUGGUUUCCAUAAUACAGCGGUUUAUCUUAUUGCUCGUCUCUUACAUAAUAUUGCGCAAUUUCGAAAAUACGACAUCUAUUAAGUUUAUUGAUUACAACUAUACAUGCCAGUAGAGAUAAUACCUUAAUUAGGAUGUGAUAGAUCUGUUCUGAUAAAAUAAUUCUUUAUCAUGGUUUUAGAGAAUGGCUUGCUAGGAGGAAUUUAAGAAAAGGUUGUAUUUUUUAAGCUCUUUAGUUCUAUGGCUAGUGAAAAUCCUUUAUGGCGUUAAAGGCCUAGAAAUUUCGAAAAUGCUUUUAAAUUAAUAUAAAAAAUGACUCGUUGUUUUUUUCCCUCUCAAAGUUAACGAAUAUAGAGCCAUAUUCACAUUUACAAAGUCAGAUAUAAAUAUAGGAAUAUAGCAUAAAUAAGUGACACUGCGUCAACGGAACCAAUUACACGUUUUCAAAUGCUGUGGAACCCUCAUCAUCGUAAAUAUUUCAAUAUGACUCAUAUCUCAAAGACAUAGAGUUGAUUUUGCUGCUGCUGUACAGACUUCACAAUAUAAUCCAUAUCAGAUAAGAUAUAUUAUGACCUAACGAUUGCUCGUCUUGCUUGAGAAAUAUUUUUUUGAUAUUCACUUACUAAUCACUUAUAGUUAAGUAGCUCCGAAGUCGAGUACAAUUUCAUUUUUUUUUUAAAUAGAUAUUGAAUUUCCAUAACGUUAAAAAAAAUCACUAACUAUGUGUAGAGGUAUUUCAAUCUACAUAUUUCCUAUCAAUUCGUUCAAACUUUAGUAUGCAGAAAAUCCUAGAAGGAAUAGCAGAUUGAAGAAUCGUGAUGCAGGUUCUUGAAAGAAAGUGGCAAUCAAGAUUGUAAUGCGGAAUCACUGCAAUCAAAUGUAAAGAGGAAACGUUCAUGAUGUAAGUACUUUAGAAUAUCCACGACCAUUCUGAUACUUCUAAAUUUUGGGCUACUAACAAAAUACACCACCAGACACCAGAGUCGGGACCAGCAUUUGUGGAUCACACAAACUUGCGCGGGCAAGGAACCGCGUCGCGCACAAUGGGCGGGUCUGGUUUCAAUAGCUAUGUAAUAACCACACACCAAAUGUAACUUUACUAAUAACAAACAAACAAAUAAGAGCAGGAAAA